ensembl:lncRNA
GGAAUACGCGAUUGGAUAUUGAAGUCCGUUUUAGGGUGUGUGGGAGUGAUUGGUAUGAUGGAAUUAAAAGGGGGAAAAAAAACAGAGGUACAUCUACAGAGCUUCUGAGGUGACACGGUGGUUAUUUUUCAUAAGGCACGGAGACGAUGAAUGUAGACGAGCGUUGAUAUCUAAAGACGAAUGAACCUUCAGAGAUCUACGUCUACUUUUGCCCGUUUGAAAAACAUUGAAAAUGUAAGAAUUCAUUAAUAAAUAACAUUUGAUAGGAAAUAAUGAUGCACUUUUCCUUCUCUAAACAUUCAGAUUUUUUCCUCCAUCGCUAUGAAAAGUCCAUAUGGCGUUUCUUCUGUCUUAUAGCUGAUUAUUACAUAACUUUAAUUAAGGAAUUCACUUCAAACCAAUUUAAACCUUCCUAAUUUAUUCACCAUUCAUUGGCUGUUUGAUGUCGUUAAACAUCUAAAUGGCACAUGUAAAUAAAUGAACUAAAGCAUGUCAAUAGGCGUGCAAACUUUUGAGCUUGACUUAAUGGCUGCAAUAUUUAGACCCUAUUGAAAAUCUAGCAUCAGUGAUGAACACAGGAGUCUGAAUUUAUGAGUAUGUUAUAAUGUAGAGGUACAUUUGAUAUUUUUUCACUCAGAAACCAAGAGGAUUGUUGUUGGGUUUUUUGUUGUUGUUGUUGUUGUUGCGUUCAAUCCUUAAACGUAAAUUUCAUGACAAGUUGUCCUAAAUUGUCUGAAUUGUCCAACGUUUCAGACCAAAGCUGCUUUCAUUUCAGCAGCUCCAAACUGGAGGUGUUUUUUGAUUGGCAGCCGCCUCCCUGCUAAUUACAAACUACUGCAUUAGCAGCGGAGAGGCUGAUUUGCAUGCGUAAACACUAGAGUCGGCUCCGUCAUUAUCAGCCGUAAUAACAGCACACGCUAAUCAAAGGCCAGAGUGUCACUCAGUACACACGGAGGGAAAAAAUACUGCAGGUUCUGCUAAUGUACCACUCCGUCUUUCCUCUCUGAAGCUCACGGGCCGCUAAUGAUAGUGACGCGUUAGCAACUGGAGCUUGUGGUGUCAUAACACAUGACGUGUUGAGAAUUCGUAAGCGGUGCUUUAAGGACCGAUGAUAGAAAUCAAACGAGUGCGUAAACAUCACCAGGAACGUUUCAG